rnacentral:lncRNA from 1 species
CAGCCAUGUAGGUGGCACAAGAAGCUAGGUGACACCUCGUUUCAUACUAGGUGAACUAAGUCGGAACACGAACGACACAUACCAAGGGCUAUCCCUUCUAUGUGGAAGCUAGCAAAUGGAACCAACGAACCUUUCUAUGUAGAAGCAGCUCAUAGACUGGAAAACAUCGCUGUGGUUGCCAGAUGGUAGGGGAGGCUGUGGGAAGGCCUGGGAUUUGGGAGUGGUAGAGUCAACCUCUUGUGCUUGGCAUGUGUUAGCAAUGAAGUCCUGCUCUAUAGCACAGGGAUUAUACCUGGCCACUUCUGUGGAACCAAAAUGGAAGACACUGCGACCAAAAGAAGAUGCAUAUACAUGUACGACUGGAUCGCGUUUGUGCUCAAGUGAAACUGGGCACCAUACAUCCGUGAGAAUGGAAAAUAAUCACCGAUAAAAUCCCACACCCUUAGUGGCUUGGGAUUCCCCACAGCAUGUGCUAUGGUACAUAGCCCUGCCUCUCAGGAGAAGCCAGGCGGGCUCCGUUGACCCUGACAAGGGGCACUGGCACUAUGAGCUGGGACCCGACGUGAUGACCAAGCGUGGAUAAAUUUCUUUCUGUACUAGCAUUUCCUUUUAUGUUUCUAAAUCCCUAAUUGAUGUUCCUGCCCCCAUGUGUGGCAUGCAGAUACACUCUGCCCCGGCAAUGAAUCCACUGCGAUGCUGUCCAUCCCAAGGCUUGCCCUUCAAACACUCUGCCACCUGAGGCAGAGGGUCAGGAGAGCCUUUGGGACUGCCUCAUCUGGCAAUAAGCUCAUACUGUCCCCAUCUCUUCGUCUUUAUAAAUGGAUCUCGAUGCCCCCUGUGACAAUGGGGUGCCCUUUGGCCAGACUUGGAUCUCGCUGGAGCCAUGUCCACAGCCACAGCACUGCCAGAUAGACACUCUGAAGCCAAGCAGCCACGAGGGAACUCCCUGAGAGCUUGCUGGGUGAUUCCAAUCAACCCUGCUUCAUUCACCAGACCUGGGUUCGCUCAGGCCUCCAUACCCUGGCCCCGUCCGGAAACGGGAGGCUCCUCUUAAAAGGCAAGAAGGAAACUCCCCUGAGCCUUUGGAAGGGAAAAGCAUAGGGAUUCGCCCAGCUCUGGGUCCACCACAAAGCCACCAAAGCCCCCCAUUCCUUCCGCAGCAGCAGCAGCAGCAGCCGCCUGAUUCUCCACCCACAUCCACCAC